UACGAAGGGGGCUAGCGUUGCUCGGAAUCACUGGGCGUAAAGGGUGCGUAGGCGGGUCUUUAAGUCAGGGGUGAAAUCCUGGAGCUCAACUCCAGAACUGCCUUUGAUACUGAGGAUCUUGAGUUCGGGAGAGGUGAGUGGAACUGCGAGUGUAGAGGUGAAAUUCGUAGAUAUUCGCAAGAACACCAGUGGCGAAGGCGGCUCACUGGCCCGAUACUGACGCUGAGGCGCGAAAGCUCGGGGAGCGAACGGG
rnacentral:rRNA from 1 species